rnacentral:pre_miRNA from 2 species
AUGGUGAUGAGGUCAGUUUGUCUUUCAUAAUGUGAUUAGCUGUCUCAUGAUCUUCA